rnacentral:rRNA from 1 species
CGGUGUGAAUUGCAGAAUCCCGUGAACCAUCGAGUCUUUGAACGCAAGUUGCGCCCGAAGCCGUUAGGCCGAGGGCACGUCUGCCUGGGCGUCA